rnacentral:sRNA from 15 species
CGGUGGGGAUUUGUUGUGGAGAAAUAAAGUGAAUGUGGGUAUCAAUCCCGCCAGCUGUAACAAUUAAACCUUCACCAGCUAGUGCUUCUGUAGCAGGACCUACACAAAGGCGGUUGCAAACGCCGUCUUGAAUGUCUUUAUUGCCGGCUUUACCAAUGCCAUGGAUCUUGCCAUCUUUAAUGCCAAUGUCGGCUUUGUAAAUCCCGGUGUAGUCUACAAUUAGGGCGUUAGUAAUCACUAAAUCUAACUCAUGGCUGCUGGGGCUAUUGGUUUGGCCCAUCCCAUCGCGGAUAG